GUGGGAGGACAGGGCUUCCAUCAGUCAAGAUUCACUCCUAAACCAGAAGCCUUGCUUGCGUGCACCAUCACAACUCAAGCACACGGUGACAGGAAAUGGUUAAAAGUGCAAGACAUCAAAGGAUUUACCAUGAAGUCUUUUAGCAGGCCGACCUAAGGGCGCCAAGGCUACAACGAAACUCUUCAGGAGGAAUGACAACCCCGAAAAACACAUGGAAAACCUGGUAGGGGGUGAGGAGAGACCAGAUGACUCACGCGGCUGACAAUGUUUGCCCCCCCCCUCCAGUGAUGUAAAACAAAAGUCGGCUAAAAUCCUCGUUUCAACGAAGUGUUCGAGUGUCAGACCUUACUAAAAAGGGUUAAAACCGAAACUGUUUCAAACACCAGCUUCCCU